GGGCCUGUAGCUCAGCUAGGCAGAGCAUCUGGCUUUUAACCAGGUGGCCAGGGGUUCGAAUCCCCUCAGGCCCG
rnacentral:tRNA from 1 species